rnacentral:rRNA from 1 species
GAUGAACGCUGGCGGCGUGCCUAAUACAUGCAAGUCGAGCGAACAGACGAGGAACUUCCUCCUCUGACGUUAACGGCAGACGGGAGAGUAACCCGAGGGUAACCUAACUAUUAGACAGGGAUAACUUCGCGAAACCAGAGCUAAUACCGGACAAUAUAAUGACCAGCAGGGAUAAAUAGUGGAAGACGGAAUUACUGUAAAGUAUAGAUGGAUCCGCAUCGCCUUAGCUAGGAGGUAAGGUAACGGCUUAUCACGGCAACGAUGCGUAACCGACCGCAGAGGGUCAACGGCCACACUGGAUCUGAGACACGGUCCACACUCCUACGGUGGGCCGCAGUAGGGAAUCUUCCGCGAAGGACCAAAGCCUGACGGUGCACCGCCGCGUGAGCUAUGAUGGUCUUCGGAUCGUUAAACUCUGUUAUUAUGGAAGAACAAAUGCUCUAGUAACUAUGCACGUCUUGACUGUACCUAAUCAGAAAGCCCCGGCUAACUACGUG